ensembl:antisense Gm13262 predicted gene 13262
GGAACUUAUCGGGGCCAGCCGGCAACUAAAUGCCACGCUGAUCCCAGGAGAUAGCCAACUGAGGUUUUUUCACAGAAGUCUAUUUAGAAGCCUGCGACAGACUGCCCUGCCAGCGGCUCCACUUACCUCAGGCAAAGCACUGGUGGUUCCAUCAGAUCAGGUUUGGAAUCACACAUCAGUUGGAGGAUAAAGAUCCCCACUGUAUUUAGUGGCAGACACCUUCUGAAGACAAAUACCUCGUCAGCUACAGAGACGAUGCCUUGCCAACCUCUUUCGUCCCUGAUGGCCGAUUAUCACACCAUGUGAGCAGCUCAGGUUCCUGUGUAUCUGUUUCCUGAAUACCGUCUCCUUCUAUAAAACACUGGCAGGGUAAGUACUUCACCUCCCUUCUCCUUUAGAAAGCAUGGAUGCCGUUCAAAUGAUGGCGUGGGAUAAAGGGGAAAUAGGCUGCUGCUUUAAAGAUGGAAUGGUUAGCCUUCCUAAUGAGAAAUACUUGUCAUUCUUUUGCUUCAGAUUGUUGCAACUCACAUUCCUGUAGCAGAGUUCCUUCACUUUGCAGAGUGAAACCCUUUCCCUUACAGUAUAUGUAGUAUAUGUGUGUGCAGAAAGUGUGUGUACUGGGUAUCCUUCUCUAUUGCUCUCCCCAUUAAUGUUACUAAUGGUGUAACCAGGAAUGGAGGUGGAUACGUUUAAUCCCAGUACUUGGGAGGCAAAGGCGCUUGAAGUCAGCCUGCUGAGCUCCACCAUAGUCAGGACUUCACAGAGAAACCCUAUCUUGAAAAGAUAAAACCAAAAAGCUUAUGUAUAUAUGCAAGGUGCAUAUCUAUCUGUGUGCUGACGCCCAUGGAGAAGCAGCAUCAGACGGUCUGGAGCUGUGAGCCUCCUGUUGGUGCUAGGAUCUGGACUUUUGUGGACUUUGGUACCUCUCUUAGAGCAGAAAGCUUUUAACUCCUGACCUGUCUGUCUAUCCAGGCCCUCUACUUUUGCUGUUGUUGGGGUAAGGCCUUUUAAUGAACCUGGAGUCUGCCAUGUUGGCUACCCUUGCUGGGCAGCAAGCCUCAGAAGUCUAUGUCUGCCUCCGCAGAGCUGGGUUAUAGGUGCACACUCUUCACACCCCGCUUUCUCUGUUGGAGGCAGUGCAGGUCCUCAUGUGUGUACAGCUUCACUUACUGAGACACCUAUCUUCCUGGCUCCAAAUCCCACUGAUCUCUUUUUAAUAAGGCUGGCCGUCACCCUCCUCUGUUGAGUCCUGUCCUCUUCUGGUUUUACCAUUUAAGGAAAGCUGCCUCCACUCUCAGGAAUUCUGUGGUGUUUAUAAUUUACUCUCUCUCUCUCUGGAGAAUGAUUUUGAUCAAAUUUUUUAACUUUUCUUUGUAACAUCGAUGUUUUAUUUUCUAAUCCCCCCUGCCACCCACAGCAGUUUCUUAAACUUCAUUUGGUUGGUGUCACAGUCAUCCAGUGGAGACCACAACCACCGGUUCAUUUUGCACAGGCCACUGAGCAGUCAUAAGAUGGUGACAACUUUGGGUCUUUAGUGACCUGGACUGGAUUCGACUCACUGACCUAGAGGUGAAAGGCUCUGUAUUUCAUUACUAAUCCCUUGAGCCAUCCAGCCCCCUGAAAAUGAUUCUUUGGUUUUAUUAUUGCAAAGACCAUUUAUAAAAUCAUGGACUGGAUUUAGGAAAGCAACCAUGAAAUAGCAAGGGACAACAAAAUUGAUUGAAACUUCUUAAAUGUUGUGUGGGCUGGAGACUCUCAGACAGGAGGAGGGGAAGAAGCUCUAUAGAGGCACCUCCUUCCUUACUCCAGGAGUGCGACCUGCUCACUUAGACGUGGCAACUUCAGACCCACAGACCAUGCCUCAGGGAAUUAAUUCCUAAAUAAAGAAAAUGGAAAAGCAAACUACGAAACAGCCAAUAAUCUUUAUUUUGCACUUCCCCCACCCUUUGUCUCCUCCAAAAAGCACUAAUGGGUAUACUUGUGCAUGUGAAAAUAUUGUAUAAAGUAUUCAGGAUGAUCUCUAAUAAAUC